CCGUGGCUUAGUAGUGGUGAGGAGGAGGGGGUGAAGCGUAGACAUAAUGGGGUGGGGGUGGAGGAGGAGACUUGUAUUUGUAAACUGGAGGAGGAGGUGGUGGAGACUUGUACUUGUAAGGGUGCUUGGGGGGUGAUGGUGGGGGUGGUGGGGGUGACUUGUACUUGUAGGGGUGCUUGGGUGGUGACGGUGGGGGUGGGGACUUGUACUUGUAAGGGUGCUUGGGGGGUGAUGGUGGUGGUGGUGGAGGUGACUUGUACUUGUAGGGGUGCUUGGGUGGUGACGGUGGUGGUGGUGGGGGGGACUUGUACUUGUAGGGAUGCUUUGGUGGGGAUGGUGGUGGUGGUGGUGGGGACUUGUACUUGUAGGGAUGCUUAGGUGGGGAUGGUGGUGGUGGUGGAGACUUGUAUUUGUAAGGAUGCUUUGGUGGUGAUGUUGGUGGAGGUGGUGGGGACUUGUACUUGUAAGGGUGCUUGGGUGGUGAUGGAGGUGGAGGUGGUGGAGACUUAUACUUGUAAACUGGAGGUGGUGGGGGUGGAGACUUGUACUUGUAGGGGUGCUUGGGUGAUGAUGGAGGUGGAGGUGGUGGAGACUUAUACUUGUAAACUGGAGGUGGUGGGGGUGGAGACUUGUACUUGUAAGGGUGCUUGGGUGGUGAUGGUGGGGGUGGGGACUUGUACUUGUAGGGGUGUUUAGGUGGUGAUGGUGGUGGUGGUGGUGGGGACUUGUACUUGUAAGGAUGCUUGGGUGGUGAUGGUGGUGGAGGUGGAGGAGACUUGUACUUGUAAGGAUGCUUGGGUGGUGAUGGUGGUGGAGGUGGUGGAGACUUAUACUUGUAAACAGGAGUUGGUGGGGGAGGAGAUUUGUACUUGUAAGGUUUCUUGUGUGGUGGUGGUGGAGGAGAGUAGACCGGAGGAGGCGGUGGGGGAGACUUGUAAUGGUAGGGUGGUGGUGGGUAUUUCUUAGGAGGUGGUGGAGGAGAAGAAUAAGUGUAAUCUGCAGAG
rnacentral:lncRNA from 1 species